rnacentral:rRNA from 1 species
AAGGCUUACGGUGGAUACCUAGGCACCCAGAGACGAGGAAGGGCGUAAUAAGCGACGAAAUGCUUCGGGGAGUUGAAAAUAAGCGGAGAUCCGGAGAUUCCCGAAUAGGUUAACCUUUCGAACUGCUGCUGAAUCCAUGGGCAGGCAAGAGACA